AGAGAUUCCUGCACCAUGAUUAACAGAUCCAACCAGCCUCGUAGUUCACCUCAGCAAAAUGGGGGAGUGAGGAUUUUUGUCUUUUUUUCUGUCCAAAUGGUGCAACAAGAAUGUUCCUCAGGAAUCUCUGUCUUGAGUAAUAAACUCCCUUCUUUUGAAAUCCCAGGCCUUGUGCCCAGAGUAGACAGAUUCCCUAAUAAAGAUGGAAGCGUCAACUCUGAAGCAAGGAUACUUGGUAAAAUGAUUUUAAAACUGACAAGAAAAAGCAGCUCGAAGUGGCCCAGCAAGUUCAGAGAAAGUCCGCGCUGGCAGGACGCACGGAGGCGGUGUGAUGAGCUGUGCGCUGCUGACACCACGCUGAGUGAACAGAGGAAGGCUCUUGGAGGAGGUUCAAGGGGCCAGCAUUGUCUUCCCUGAUGGCUCAACCAAGAAAGAAUCUGCCUGCAGUGCAGGAGACACAGAAGACGCAGGUUCGACCCCUGUGUCAGGAGGAUCCCCUGG
rnacentral:lncRNA from 1 species